CCUGGAUUCACCUGGUCAGUCUAUGUCAUGGAAAGAGCAGGUGGUCCUAAUGUUUUGUACACACAGUGUACAAAUCAAAUUCAAACCUGAUUAUAUCUGUUGGGAAAAUGUCACACUCCUCAAGAUAGUCAAUGUAAGGUUUCCAGAUUAUAUCAAACUUUAUUUUUUUUUGCUUAAUUUGAUAAAACACAGAAUAUAUUGGAAUGUAACUAUGCAGUUCAGCCCUCCAGUUCGUCAUUGACGUCACUGGCCACUCAAUAACUAUUCUGGAGGGGUCAUCGACUGAAUACAUUGCGGUACAACAGCAGAACCGUUUUAUGUUGGAGGACGAGCAUUAUGAUGAGGAGACCAUCUCGGCGUCUUCCGAGAGGCCUUUUGAGAUGUGCAACUCUGCUGGACUUUACACUGCUGGACCCCCUAACUCUACUGGACCUUGCACUGCUGGACCCCCUAACUUUGCUUUGUAUAGCAAUCAAAGUGAAACCGUGUAGGGUUACUUUUGCUAAAUAUGGGUUGAGAAAAUUGACCAGAUACAUGAUUGAUUGUGCGGAAAAACGAUAACGUUCAAAAAUAAAUUCUUUUGAAUGAUCUAAAGGAUGUAUUCGAGGUCCAAUAAUUUGUACCCUUUGUAAAGCACGAUGAACAAUGCAG
rnacentral:lncRNA from 1 species